rnacentral:piRNA from 1 species
UGAACCUGUGAACCCUUGCUGUGUUACGAAA